CUGCCGCCUCGCCCUGGGACCUGCCCACGUGCCUUCAGCCUCGCCAGGAGCCACCUGCCGGUCGCUUCGCCCCGGGACCGGCCCACUUUCCUUCAACCCCACCCAGACGCCUGUCCACCUGCCUUAAGCCCCGCCCAGGGACCUGCCCACCUGCCUUAAGCCCCGCCCAGGAGCCUGUCCACCUGCCUUAAGCCCUGCCCAGGCGACUGCUCCCCUACAUCUGGCCCCGCCCAGGGACCUUCUCACCGGCCUAGGCGCCCACCUGCGUGUGCCCUGUGCCCGCCCCGCCCACCCCGUCGCGGCAGAAGAGCAGAGGUUAAAGUUGAGCUGGCUUGGCCAAAAGCCAAGUCUGUCCAGCGCCUUGUUCCAAACCUAAGCUGGCUGCCCUCCUUCGUGCAUCUUGUGAACAAAUGCUGCGGUUAACCCAUUGUGUUCCAUCUUCCCAGAUGUGAACACUGGAGACUAACAAAUUUAAUCUGUUACAAGCUUUGUGGAAAUGUAAAAUUUUAAAAAAUGAUUUUAAAAAGCAACACCACUAUAAUCCCAGCUACAAAUGCAUUAAGAGGUUUGCUUUGGUUAAAGUUGGGGAACCGAUGGAGUAGAACUUGGCUGAGAGAAGGAAUCUUCAAGACCAUAAAACAUCACAUUCUAUCUAUGUGAAAUAUCCAGAAUGGAUAAAUUCAUACAAACAGAAAACAGAUUGGUGAUUCCCAGGGGUUACAAAAGGGAAGAAGAGAAACUACUUAAUGUGUCUUAUUCUGUUCAGUGCUAUAACAAAACACCAUAAAUGCGUGGGCUUAUAAACAACAGACAUUUCUUUCUCAUGGUUCUAGAGGCUGGAAGUCCAAGCUCAGGUGUCCAGCACCGUGGUGUCUGGUUCGUAGGUGUCCUUCUUCUCACUGGGUCCUCACAGCAUGAAAUGGUGAAGGAAUCUCUCUGGAGUCUCUUCUCAUAAGGCACUAAUUCUUCAUAACCUAAUCACCCCCACCUCCAGACAAAUCACAAUGGGAAUUACAACAUUCAGUCUACAGCACUGGACUGGACUUUGGAGUGCUGAAAUGUGUUGAACUAGACAGAGGUGGAGACAGCACACCACUGUGAGUGACCUAAAUACCACUGAAUUGUUUGUUGUGAAAUAGUUAUGCAAAUUUCACCUCCAUAAAUGUUUAAAGAGAAGAGAUGGGGAGGAGAGGAGAGAAGGGGUGGCCUGGUAGUGCCACCACCACAGCAGGCCAGGAAUUGGGAGCUGGGCCUCGUCCCCUCUGAAGACUACAGACCCACCCACCGCUCCCUGAAGCCCCAUUCUGUAGUUCCUUGGUGGCAAUUCUCUCCCAAAGGCCAGUGGACACCUCCCUCACCAGGGCAAGAAAACGCUCUCCAGCGGCCCCCACUGCACAACCCCCCUGCACCCCUGCCUGCCUGCCUGCCUGGUCUGUGCCCAUCAUGGGCCGCCCACAUCAAACCCUGCGUGUGCAAGGGAGAUCCCCUUCACUGUCACCUCCCCCUCCGUUCUUUCUCAGCCCCACGUCACUUGCUCCAUGAAGGAAGACUGCAGUCCUUCCUGAAUGGCCUCCCGCCUUCACCCUGCCUCCACCGCAGCUUCAUCAUGGCCACAGUCAGCCAGUCCCACUCCUCACUUAAAACCUUGGCUGUCACUGAAGGCUGGCCUGGAACCCUUCGAAUGCCGCACCCCGUGAUUUAGGCAUUGUGUUUUGCUCAUGAUUGCUCAACUAACACUUACAAGUGGAAUUUAGACACGUUAAAAUUUCAAAUGUAUUCAUGCACAUAUCAA